GAAGUAGCUGUCACUGGCAGCAGAAAGUAGCUGCCGUUGACAGCCGGAAGCCCUACCAAAUUAGGAGCGACCUGCCAGGUCGUGGCAGCCAAUCAGUAUUUUCCAACGUAGCAGCAACCAAUCACAUGUACCUUGAAGUUAAGAGACAGCAGGCCCGCGAGUUUUCAGUAAUGGCGGCGGCUUUUGGCUUGUAUGCACUGUACAUGGUGUUUUGACUUUAAGUUAACCAGAAUGAUAUGGCCCAUAUCAGGCGGUGGUGGGUGAAUCUGCUACUGUCAAAAAUGACACAUGGAAGAAAGAGGAAGCGCACAUCAGCCAUGCCAGUCUGUGAAGAGACAGAGCGAGAGGAGGCAGGACAAGUACCGAACAUCGAAAUCUUGAUGUUGCCGGACGCUGUCCUGUCUGAAAUUCUACUCCACGUGGUCCUUGAGGAGGGGGAUUCUGGAUUGUU